rnacentral:rRNA from 1 species
CCUACGGGAGGCAGCAGUGGGGAAUAUUGCACAAUGGGGGAAACCCUGAUGCAGCGACGCCGCGUGAGUGAAGAAGUAUUUCGGUAUGUAAAGCUCUAUCCGUAGGGAAGAAAAUGACGGUACCUGAUUAAGAAGCCCCGGCCAACUACUGGCCAGCAGCCGCGGUAAUACGGAGGGGGCAAGCGGUAUCCGGAUUGACAGGGUGUAAAGGGAGCGUAGACGGGAGCACAAGUCUGGAGUGAAAUGCCGGGGCUUAACCCCGGAACUGCUUUGGAAACUGUGCAACUAGAGUGCAGGAGAGGUAAGUGGAAUUCCUAGUGUAGCGGUGAAAUGCGUAGAUAUUAGGAGGAACACCAGUGGCGAAGGCGGUUUACUGGACUGUAACUGACGUUGAGGCUCGAAAGCGUGGGGAGCAAACAGGAUUAGAUACCCGGGUAGUC